rnacentral:lncRNA from 1 species
GUGCCGGGCGCCCCGCCGGUGUGGCCAUCCGGGCGUGUGCGGGGCCGCGGUCGGCCGUGCGUGUGCAUGUGUGCAUGUGUGCGUGUGUGCGCGCGUGUGUCCCACACACUCCGGGGCGCCGGAUCUGGGGGGCUGUGGCGCGCCCGUCCGAGGGGCUGUGUGCAGGUACUGGCCCAGGCCCUGACUCCUUGAAGAGAGGUGAGUAUACUACCUUGGGUUGGGGAAGAGAUAUGGGGUAAGAGCACUGGUUGUGAGCCAGCCCAGGCCCAGAGCUCUACCUAAGUGGACCCAAGUGCAGGAUACCACAGUGUCUGGGGAGGCAGGUGGCCACUCCCAGUGAAAAGUAGAAAUGAGGCUAUGAGAAUUGGAGUUGGGUAAGCGUUCAUUUCAUGGUGGUCAGGGAGCUCAGAGGGACCCAUAUGUCAGGAUGUGACAUCUCUCAAGAUAGGUAAAAUGAUCAGGAAAGUGGAGUCCCUUUAUAUCAGCAAGGCUCCAUGAACUUUUCUCGGCGUGAAAUAACCCCAAUGAAUGGGGAAUAUAGCUCAUUUGUAGAGCACUUGCCUAGAAUCCAUCAGUGAGGGACUGGGGGUGUGGCUUAGCCAUAAAGUAUUUGCUUAGAAUGCACAAGGCUCUGUGUUCCACCCCCAGCAUCACACACACACACACACACACACACACACACACACACACACACACACAAUAUGUUAGCAUCAUCUCACAUUGAUGUAGCAUUUAUGUAGUCUAAAGCUAACCUAAGCACAUUACAAAAUAUUAUCAGUAAGCCCUCUUCAAAGUGCGGUGAGGUUACCAGGGGCCAUCAUUGUCGUGGGAGAUACAGAGGGGGAUGCUGCUUCACCCAAAGCCAUGCACACCUGGGCCUUCCAGUGUGACCUCUGGCAGAGGGAUGGGGUCUGACCAGUGGUGUUAUCAUACCUUUGGGUAAGCUAAGGAUGUUUUCUUUGCAGCUGUGCAAGGAGAAAGUCUUAGAACAGGGUUUUGGGUCCUAGAGACCCCAAGCAAGCAGAUGCCCUACCAGGGCUCCUAAUGAGUUAGAGGCUCAACUUCCAGACUGGGGUUUCUAGUUAGUACAGAA